rnacentral:sRNA from 1 species
CUGUAUAUGUAUGGCAUUUUCAGUAAAGAAGAUAUGAGUAAAGACGUUAUCGUUAGAACUGCUUCCUUUGCCGAACCAAAUAUUAGUGCCUCAUUCAGUAAUGUCCCACGUUUUUCUGUAACACUGCCUCCGGGCAAAAUAAACAUUUAAAGGAAUUUGCAAAAUGGCAAAGAUUAAAGGUCAGGUUAAGUGGUUCAACGAGUCUAAAGGUUUUGGUUUCAUUACUCCUGCAGACGGCAGCAAAGAUGUAUUCGUACAUUUCUCUGCAAUCCAGGGUAAUGGCUUCAAAACUCUGGCUGAAGGCCAGAACGUAGAGUUCGAAAUUCAGGACGGUCAGAAAGGACCAGCAGCGGUUAACGUAACUGCUAUCUGAUUAAACGAAUCUCUUUCCGGAAUCACUUCCUGAAAUGAUGAAUUGUGAAACCCCGCUCAGUGAGCGGGGUUUUUUG